rnacentral:rRNA from 1 species
ACGAUAAGACCCUAUAGAAUUUUAUAUUAACUUUACCUAGCGGUUAAUGCUGGUUUUUUGUUAAUAUUUGGUUGGGAGGAUUAUUAAAUUUAACAAACUUUAUAUCAUUAUAAACUUUGAUUUAAGAAAAUAUAAUGACCUUCAAUUUGAAAUAGUUAGAGUAAAUUACCUUAGGGAUAACAGCGUAAUAUUUUUUUAUAGACCUUAUAGAAAAAAAUGGUUGCGACCUCGAUGUUGAAUUAAGAUAAAUUUUAAAUGCAGGAGUUUAAUAAUUAAGUCUGUU